rnacentral:rRNA from 1 species
UGGGGAAUCUUCCGCAAUGGGCGCAAGCCUGACGGAGCAACGCCGCGUGAGUGACGAAGGUUUUCGGAUUGUAAAACUCUGUCCAGAGGGAAGAAACAAAUGACGGUACCUCUGGAGGAAGCCCCGGCUAACUACGUGCCAGCAGCCGCGGUAAAACGUAGGGGGCGAGCGUUGUCCGGAAUUACUGGGCGUAAAGGGCGUGUAGGCGGCCAAUUAAGUCAUUCGUGAAACCUGCCGGCUUAACCGGUAGCUUGCGAAAGAAACUGUUUGGCUUGAGUGCAGUAGAGGGGAGUGGAAUUCCCAGUGUAGCGGUGAAAUGCGUAGAUAUUGGGAGGAACACCAGUGGCGAAAGCGGCUCCCUGGCCUGUAACUGACGCUGAGGCGCGAAAGCGUGGGUAGCAAACAGGAUUAGAUACCCUGGUAGUCCACGCCGUAAACGAUGGGUGCUAGGUGUUGGGGGUAUCRA